AUACGACAUGAAUCCCAAAACCCAGCUCCAAAGACAUUAAAUAACACUAACGAAAACCCUGGUACGCAUCAGACACAACAGCUGCUGCAAGAUUUGAAUUUAAUUAACUUUAAGAAGCUUAAAAGGUGAACAAUGAGGGUUUAGACAUUCCCAAGUCUAUUGUGCACAAGAACAACGGAAACACCAUGGCAGCCAGGCAAACUGCUGAGUUUGUCUUCAAACAGAAGUUGAAAAUCAACGAGUCCGAAACAUAACCAACAAGCUUUGGCUCUAAACAUGCUAAAUUUCGGUUUUUUCUGCUAAAGCAACAAUCUUUAGUAGACUUUGGCAUCAAUCUCUGCUACAAAAUAAUCAAACGAGCAACUGUCAAAUAUUAACACAGAUUUCCAAUAAAAUAAUUAAAAACUUGAAAAGAGUAAAAAUAUCCACUAUAAAUCAAAUCAAAAUCUCCAAAAAGUUCAUGAAUUAUUAAAAAAAGCUACUAAGAUAACUAACUUAAAUUGAAAAAAAGAAGCCCUAUCUUACUAAGCUUUCAAAAAUUAAAAAAAUGGUACGAAACAGCACAGCAUCGUAUCCGAAGCCACCACUACUACACUUCAAGUUCAAAUUUCAAUUUUCCAGCCGCAAAAAUCCAACUUAAAAAGAAAUAAAGAGGAAAAACGGAAAUUUCCAAAAUUCAACAGCUACAAAACGGCAAGUAUUGUUGCCAUUAACCACCACUCGAUCAAGCCCUAAAUCUCACAAGAUAAACCAAGUCGAUCCACAGCUCAAAUUACUAAUUUCCCAAGCCUCGUAAAUUCACAAAAUUAACUAAAAACCAAAAAGCAAAAGGAAAAAAAAUCAACAAUCACCAAAAACACUGUAAACUACUAUAACUUACCAGAGAGAGUUAAAUAUUUCUCAGCACUUGCGACAGCGAAAAACCUCUCUGGAGGAUUGAGAUUGACUUCGAAUUGAACAUAAAUUUACACUCUUUCCACACUUCUUCAUUAACAUUUCCCAAAUUAAUUCACAGAUAAGUAAUUAAUUAAUUGAAAAUUUUACUACUACUGUUUCAGAAGCUACAGAGUUGGUAUAUCACUUUUUUUUCCGUUCCGAGUCGUCCUCUUUAGGAAUUUCAGUGCGUGUACUGCGUGAGAGAGAGAGAGAGAUUGAGAGAGAAGGGAGGGAGGGAGAGAGAGAAGGGGGAAGAGAGUAUCUAUUUUAGCUUCGUUUCUUUCUUGGCUGUACUUUUUAGAGAGAGAAAGUGUGUGGGUUUGUAGUUUUGUAGUACUGAAUAGUAGUAUAUUUUGUGUGUGAGAGAGAGCGUGUGAGAGUGUGUGUUCUUGCGGACGUCAAAACUGCAUUCCAUCGGAUUGAAUUUUCUUCUUCAUUCAUUCAUUCCCCCUUUCUCUUUCUUUUGUUUACCUUUUCUUUUUUUUUCCCCCCUUAUUCUCGCCCUCCCUCAAAAUGAAGUCAAUUCAUCUUCUUCUCUUUCUCAUAAUAAAUAAAAUAUUAUAUGGGUAGACUCAGCCUCUAGGUCCAACUCGUAC
rnacentral:lncRNA from 1 species